GUAGUUAAUUUCCUCCACCUUUAGGCGCCACCCACCAUGGGACUCCGGGCACUCUUCCGUCCGUCCGUCAUUCUCCGUACUUCACCGUCUUGCACUGAUCCCAGCGGCGAAAUUCUCUAUUUCUCCAUUUUUCAUGUGCUGAAGUCCACUUUAGCCUUGAGUAACGCCUCCGAACCCGUAUCCCAACAGAAGAAUGAGAAGGGAAGCAAUAGAUGGUUCACGCUGCCCCCAUACACUGCGACUGUAAACGGUUCGAUUUUAGGUAAUCGCAUAAUGAACGGAGGAGGUCAAGCCGAAUUAGGAGCUUCCACCGCUGCAAUAACUGCUCUGAAAUGGGUGAUUCGUUGCUGCCCGGAAUUGCCGAGGAGCCUCGUGCAAAAGCUGUUUCGACUAAGAAAGGUUCGAAGAGGUUCUUCUAUGAUUGAAAAUUCUGAAUAUAAUUUGGAAGCGCGAGACCAACUUAAAAGAGUGGCAGCCAAGGACAUUCUGAACGUAGGUGAUCAAAUUUUUCUCCCUAUGUCCGUUCAAGUAUUCUCCACAGAGAAAACUCGGGAUUAUUGCAAUAAAGAGGAAGAGACAUUCAUGCAUAGUCUAGUAUUACACAAGGAUCCAGCAAUACUUGUUAUCAAUAAACCUCCCGGCUUGCCUGUACAGGGUGGUAUUGGUGUCAAAAGAAGUUUAGAUGAAUUAGCUGCAAGUUGUUUAAGUUAUGGCUACUCAGAACCACCUCGACUAGUACACAGGCUAGACAGGGACAGCAGUGGCAUCUUGAUAAUGGGCAGGACUUCCACAAGUACUUCACUUCUUCAUUCUGUCUUCCGUGAGAAAACUUUUGAGGCAUCAAAACAUGCAAACCAUGUUGAUAGUGAGAAAAAGAUUUUGCUAAAGAGGUACUGGGCACUUGUAAUUGGUUCUCCUAGACGUUCAAAGGGGUUAAUUACAGCUCCACUAGGAAAGAUUGUCUUGGAUGAUGGAAGAUCUGAGCAAAUUAUGGUCAUUGAUAAUGCCGAACCUAUGCCCUUUCAGCAAGCAAUUACUCAAUAUAAAGUGAUCAAAUCUCAUCAUGGAUACACUUGGUUGGAGUUGUGUCCCCUCACUGGAAGAAAACAUCAGCUUCGUGUACACUGUGCCGAGGUAUUAGGAACGCCUAUAGUUGGAGACUACAAAUAUGGAUGGCAAGCUCAUAAAAAUUGGAAACCAUUUUGUUCUAAUUUCCACAAGAAUCAAGGAAAGAAACAAUUCCUCCCUUUUGGUCUUGACUUUGAAAGUGGAAGUAUUGCAGAAAAUAAUCCUCGUCUACACCUUCAUUGUAAGCAACUGACUUUACCAGAUGUUUCUUUUGCGCUGCAUAAUGAUUCUCUAGAUCGUGACUGCUCAAGAUUGGAAUGUCUGGAGUUGGAUGCUCCUUUGCCUUCAUACAUGCAAAAAAGUUGGGAUAUCAUAAAUAGUUAGACCGCCAUCAAAAUUUCAGGACCAACCACUCAACUUUUUGAUCUUCAUUUUUCCAAAUGGAAGUAUUGUGGUAAACAACCCUGCCCAAACUUUCAACUCUAGAAUUUUUUUUAUCUGAUCUCUGAAAAAUUAUUCUCUCUAGAUCAUGGCUUCUCAGGGACGGAAUGGCUUGGGUUGGGUGCUCCUUCGCCCUCCUAAAUGCAAAGAGAUUGAUAUUUAGAGAAGAUAUCGUCACGGUGAUGGUUGCAGGACACAUUUGUCCACUUCUCAACCUUUGCAACGUAUGGUAAUGAAAAGUCUUCAUAUCAAUUUUAAUUUGUAUCCACAACAUUGACAAAAAUAAUUUAAGGUUUUCUUUUCCAACUUCUCAAAUAGUUGAAUUCAAAAAGUUUUUUUUUAAGAAAGUACAAAUGUAACGAUAAAAAUGAAGACUGAGUGCAAGAUAAAGUACAAAUCUCAAAAUCAGUUUGUUUGAAGUUAUUUUAUAAAACGUAGUAAAUUAAACAGAAUAUUAUAAAAGAUAUCAUUUGAAUAUUUUCUAAAAUGUGGUGGAAAAGUUAAAAGUUAAACUUUUACCGAAUAAAAAUUAACAUCCACUACUAGAUAACAAUUGAAAAUACACUUUGAUGUUUUGAUAUUUUUCAUUAUUUGUUAUUUCGUUCAUAAUUUUCACAUUUUCGAUCUACUUGAUAUAUCAUCAUUUCGUGUUCAUAGUCUUCAACUCACUGUUUUUAUGUUUGAUUCUUUACCCUUUAUAAGUAUUUAUUGCUUUAUUUGCUAUGAAUAAAUAGAAAAGGUAUAAAUAAUGUGCCAAAGAUAAUGCAGGGGAGUAUGCAAUUCAUCUCAGUAAAGUUUAGUUUAGAUCUUCCUCUCAUUUAAAGUUGUGAACGAUCGAUCGACUCUUUAUAAGACUUUUAUUCCCCGGAAGAUCUUUGGAGUUAUAACCGCUAAAAUUCAUCCGAGUUUAUCAAGUUCGUUCUUGUUUAAUAUUUUCUCCUCUCGGUACUUUUCCUUUUAUAUUUCAAGAUAUCCACCUCUACCUA